rnacentral:rRNA from 1 species
CCUACGGGAGGCAGCAGUCGAGAAUCAUUCACAAUGGGGGAAACCCUGAUGGUGCGACGCCGCGUGGGGGAAUGAAGGUCUUCGGAUUGUAAACCCCUGUCAUGUGGGAGCAAAUUAAAAAGAUAGUACCACAAGAGGAAGAGACGGCUAAAUCUGUGCCAGCAGCCGCGGGAAUACAGAGGUCUCAAGCGUUGUACGGAAUCACUGGGCGUAAAGCGUGCGUAGGCUGUUUCGUAAGUCGUGUGUGAAAGGCGCGGGCUCAACCCGCGGACGGCACAUGAUACUGGGAGACUAGAGUAAUGGAGGGGGAACCGGAAUUCUCGGUGUAGCAGUGAAAUGCGUAGAUAUCGGGAGGAACACUCGUGGCGAAGGCGGGUUCCUGGACAUUAACUGACGCUGAGGCACGAAGGCCAGGGGAGCGAAAGGGAUUAGAUACCCUGGUAGUC